rnacentral:rRNA from 1 species
AGUGAACGCUGGCGGUAGGCCUAACACAUGCAAGUCGAACGGCAGCACAGUAAGAGCUUGCUCUUACGGGUGGCGAGUGGCGGACGGGUGAGGAAUACAUCGGAAUCUACUUUUUCGUGGGGGAUAACGUAGGGAAACUUACGCUAAUACCGCAUACGACCUACGGGUGAAAGUAGGGGAUCUUCGGACCUUGCGCGAUUGAAUGAGCCGAUGUCGGAUUAGCUAGUUGGCGGGGUAAAGGCCCACCAAGGCGACGAUCCGUAGCUGGUCUGAGAGGAAGAUCAGCCACACUGGAACUGAGACACGGUCCAGACUCCUACGGGAGGCAGCAGUGGGGAAUAUUGGACAAUGGGCGCAAGCCUGAUCCAGCCAUACCGCGUGGGUGAAGAAGGCCUUCGGGUUGUAAAGCCCUUUUGUUGGGAAAGAAAAGCAGCAGGUUAAUACCCCGCUGUUCUGACGGUACCCAAAGAAUAAGCACCGGCUAACUUCGUG